UACAUUCUUUUCUUUUGCCUCCCAUCUAAUGCUUAGGUCUGAAUGGUUUCCUUGAACUAUCUACUGUUGAUGGAAUGAACUUAUCCACCCAACAUCUCCACCAAACCAGUUCUGCAGAAGGUUCUGGCUCAUUGUGAUGAAGUUGGGAGCCCCACCAGAAUUGCUAAUUCACAAAACAUCCUGUGCCUUGAAGACGCUUUCAGACUGUCUGCCCAAGGGACAACAGUGGCGCUGAAUCAGAAUAUGGAGUCUGGCUUCCCCCGUCUUGCAAGAAGUAAAGAAUGCGUAGCAUGGCACCAUUGGAAGUGGGAGCCCAAGUUACUCAUGAGAGCAAUUUUGAAGUAAGACCUCCA